CGGAUCUACACCCAACCGAGAUCACAGAAUCGGGAGCGAUUUGGGGAUUUAGGGUUUCGAAAUCGAAAGCGUCGUCGUUUUCGAAAUGGCGUUGGGCAAGGUGAAGGAGCUCGUCUCGUCCAAUCCGGUAGUCAUCUUCAGCAACAAGCUUUGUCCUUACUGUGUUUGCGUGAAGUAGCUCUUCGUUCUAAAAUUGGGAGUCCAGUACAAGGCCAUUGAAUUGGACCAAGAGAUGUCUGUCUAUAUAUGCUUCAAACUAAGGGCAAUAGAAUGGUGUAUUUCGGUGAUAUGAACUGGUUCCCACUCCUCAAGCGAUCCAAGACUGUACAAACAAAGACUCUAAGCAACAGAUUAGCCACUUUAUUUUCAGGGAGAGGAGACUAGAGUUGUUUGCAAACUGGAGAGCUAAGGGUGGUGUUUUCUUGAUUGGCUACUCCAUUUUCAGAAACUUAUCCCUUGGAACCUUGACUUGAGGAACCCUUUUGUGGAGCAAGCAGUGCAGUACUGUGUGGCUGCUGCUCGAGCAACACUUGACAAAGACAAGAAGGAUUCGUUAGAGAAAUUACCAUUGCAAGGAAACGCAACACCCUGUAACAAAAUAAAGAUGGAUGACAUAGAGACACAUCAUUGGAAAAUAUAAAACGUCAAAAGGAGGGAAGAAUAGGUUAUAUAUGAACGCAUUAGUUCCAUUUGACUUCAGUUUUUCAUUACUUGUCUUCCUUUUUAUUUCAUAAAGUAAAUAGGAGAAAUGCCAGUUUUAGCAACAGGUAAGCAUAUACAAGUAAUUAUUUCUUUAACUGAAAAAUUUAACUUCUUCCUUGCCAUUUUUCUUAGGAUCCUGCACAUUAUCUGCUUAAAGAAGAUGAUUCCCCUUGCAUCUUUGGGUCUAUUGAGAAGCAGAGAUGGUCAUAUGCAUGUGCAAAGCAAUU